AAACAAGCAGAGGACAAAAACAGAAAAAGUGAGAAAGGAACAAUAGGAAAGAAGGAAAAAAUCCACAAGAAUGGAGAAGCGGAAACAGGGGGAACAAAGUCUACAAAUGAAUUAAGUCCUUUUUUUUUUUCCUUUUUUUCCCAGCACAGACAUGGAACAAGAGCAGGCCCAGGCUGCAGGCAGCAGUGGCCAAUGAGGGCAGGUGGUAGGUGACAUUGGGACAUGGUAUGGUGGCCUUGGGUAGGUUUGCCUACCUCCAUGCAACAGACGUUCUCAAUAUGCAGCCAACGCUGCUUCUAGGUGUGCAGGAGGUUACCGGGGUCACCAAGGAAACCCACGUAAUGUGUUCUUAAGAUGUGCGCAUUGACAUGCGUGCUCACGGUUAAGCUGGCUUUUCUGUAACUCCAGGGGGCAAGGAGGAUCUGUCACCUUUGGCCACCAUGCCCACAGAAAGGGACUCCGAAUCUGCACAAGUGGCGUCUUAAUCUUGUCAUGGUCCUCUAGGGCUGACAGACUGCUUUGCAUUCUGGACCAGGGAAGUUAGGGGCCACUAUGAACUCACAGGGAUGACUUCACUAACCAGUAGCAUUACCCCUCCCCCAGGCUAUGGCAAACCGACCAGCCCCUCCCCCUUCAGAGACAUCUGAUGCCACGGUGGAGGGGUGGUGUCACACUGUGGACUGUUAGACCCAAAGGGGGGGUGAGCUGACAAGACAACACCUCACAGUGACACUUGGUAAGAGUAGUGAUGGGCACCUGGGAGACAGUGUGCAGAGAUCUCUACAGACCUGGUCACCAUUGGAGGAAGAGGGAGAGGAGCUGAGCAAGGGACCAUCACAGAACCACAGGAGCACACACAGGAGACAGGAAGCCCCAGGAAGGUGUGCAGAGAGGAGGGCCUUGCUCUUUCUUGGAGUACACAAGUGCCUACCAUCAGAAAGAAGUACAUCUUUCUUCCUGUCUCCUACAUGUGAGCAGAACUCAUGUCCGUGCCAUGGAAAAAUCAGGCAGACAUUGGGGAACUAUGAGGCUGUGGGACACCAAAGUCAAGGUUAGAAUUUGGUGUCUGGGGCCACAGAAAACAGCUCACUGCAUUUGCUUACCUGAGCAGUCGGUUAAAGACAACAUUCAAGACAUACACAGAGACAGUCUAUGCUGCAAAAGCCAGUACCUCAAGCGGGAGGGGUGGGGGUUAUGUGGCAAGAAGUGGGUUUGGACCACUCCCUCCACAACGCCCCGAAUGUAGAUUAUCUCUUGACAUACAGAGACGACCUCGGAAUGGACAUAAACAUUCUUUAGGGAACCGUGAGGAGGAGGGGAGGAGGUGAGACAGGGUAUUAGACGAGACAGGGGUCUGUUAACCGGGUGCAAGCAUCUGCCCUUUUUCAGCAUCAAUGGCCAUGAGUGGGAGCCCCCCAGCAUUCCAGAAGCUGGGGACACCGACAGGGGCCUGUGGCCAAGUGGAUUCCUGGAGUUUAAGACUGGGAUGUAAGAGAGCAGAGCUGACUCAUGCCGCCUACUCAAGGGGCUUGACAAGGGUCCUACUUCUGAUCAGUGACGUUUCUAUGGAUAUGGUACUGACCUCAUGGGAAUCAGAUUGUGUGUGUGUGUGUGUGUGUGUGUGUGUGUGUGUGGGUGGGUGGUAUAAGGGGUGGAGCCCAGAACCUCAUGUGUGCUGGGCAAGUGCUCCACCAUCGAGCCAUACCCAUGGGCCUGGCUUAGGGUUCAUUUUACUCAUGUCUGCAUAAGUGUGUAUACAUGUACCUGGCGUGUAGAGGCAGGGGUUUGACUCGAGCUGUUUU
rnacentral:lncRNA from 1 species